rnacentral:tRNA from 1 species
GACCGCGUAGCUCAGUUGGCAGAGCAUUGGGCUGGUAUGCCAAAGGUCGUAGGUUCGAUUCCCACCGUGGUCA